UACCAGCACCCCGAGUGGUCGGGACGUUUAUUGGGCCUAAAGCAUCCGUAGCCGGUUCUACAAGUCUUCCGUUAAAUCCAACUGCUCAACAGGUGGGCUGCGGAGGAUACUACAGAGCUAGGAGGCAGGAGAGGCAAGCGGUACUCAGUGGGUAGGGGUAAAAUCCUCUGAUCCAUUGAAGACCACCAGUGGCGAAGGCGGCUUGCCAAUACGCGCUCGACGGUGAGGGAUGAAAGCUGGGGGAGCAAACCGG
rnacentral:rRNA from 1 species